GACGAACGCUGGCGGCGUGCUUAACACAUGCAAGUCGAACGGAAAGGCCCUGCUUUUGUGGGGUGCUCGAGUGGCGAACGGGUGCGUAACACGUGAGUAACCUGCCCUUGACUUUGGGAUAACUUCAGGAAACUGGGGCUAAUACCGGCUAGGAGCUCCUGCUGCAUGGUGGGGGUUGGAAAGUUUCGGCGGUUGGGGAUGGACUCGCGGCUUAUCAGCUUGUUGGUGGGGUAGUGGCUUACCAAGGCUUUGACGGGUAGCCGGCCUGAGAGGGUGACCGGCCACAUUGGGCCUGAGGUGCGGCCCAGACUCCUACGGGAGGCAGCGGUGGGGAAUAGUGCGCAAUGGGCGGAAGCCGGAUGCAGCAACGCCGCGUGCGGGAUGACGGCCUUCGGGUUGUAAACCGCUUUCGCCUGUGACGAAGCGUGAGUGACGGUAAUGGGUAAGGAAGCACCGGCUAACUACGUG
rnacentral:rRNA from 1 species